GGGGGAGAUUUGGAAAAGCAGCUGAGCCUCUGAAUCUCUCAGGAACAGGAAUUACCGGUAUUUAAGGUCUUGCCUCCCCAUGUUCGGUGGCCGCAUUUGCAUAGCAUGAGUCUGAGACUAUACAAGAAGAGCUGAGGAAAGGAAAGACAGGAGAGAG